UACGAAGGGGGCUAGCGUUGUUCGGAGUUACUGGGCGUAAAGCGUGCGCAGGCGGCUUCUCAAGUCAGGGGUGAAAGCCCAGAGCUCAACUCUGGAAUUGCCUUUGAGACUGAGUGGCUUGAGUACGAGAGAGGUGAGUGGAAUUCCCAGUGUAGAGGUGAAAUUCGUAGAUAUUGGGAAGAACACCGGUGGCGAAGGCGGCUCACUGGCUCGUAACUGACGCUCAUGCACGACAGCGUGGGGAUCAAACAGG
rnacentral:rRNA from 1 species